UACGGGGGGAGCAAGCGUUGUUCGGAUUUACUGGGCGUAAAGGGCGCGUAGGCGGCCACCGCAAGUCGACUGUGAAAUCUCCGGGCUUAACCCGGAAAGGUCAGCCGAUACUGCGGGGCUAGAGUGCAGAAGGGGCAACUGGAAUUCUCGGUGUAGCGGUGAAAUGCGUAGAUAUCUGGAGGAAUACCGGUGGCGAAGGCGGCAUCCUGGACCGGCAUUGACGCUGAGGAGCGAAAGCCAGGGGAGCAAAGCGGG
rnacentral:rRNA from 1 species